rnacentral:rRNA from 1 species
CCUACGGGCAGCAGCAGUGAGGAAUAUUGGUCAAUGGACGAGAGUCUGAACCAGCCAAGUAGCGUGAAGGAUGACUGCCCUAUGGGUUGUAAACUUCCUUUAUAUGGGAAUAAACUGUUCCACGUGUGGGAUUUUGUAUGUACCAUAUGAAUAAGGAUCGGCUAACUCCGUGCCAGCAGCCGCGGUAAUACGGAGGAUCCGAGCGUUAUCCGGAUUUAUUGGGUUUAAAGGGAGCGUAGGUGGAUUGUUAAGUCAGUUGUGAAAGUUUGCGGCUCAACCGUAAAAUUGCAGUUGAAACUGGCAGUCUUGAGUACAGUAGAGGUGGGCGGAAUUCGUGGUGUAGCGGUGAAAUGCUUAGAUAUCACGAAGAACUCCGAUUGCGAAGGCAGUUCACUGGACUGCAACUGACACUGAGGCUCGAAAGUGUGGGUAUCAAACAGGAUUAGAUACCCUUGUAGUC